rnacentral:rRNA from 1 species
AAGAUUAAACUGAAGAGUUUGAUCAUGGCUCAGAUUGAACGCUGGCGGCAGGCUUAACACAUGCAAGUCGGGCGAGAAAGCACUUCGGUGUGAGUAGAGCGGCGGACGGGUGAGUAAAGCUUGGGAAUCUGCCUAGUAGUGGGGGAUAACGUGUGGAAACGCACGCUAAUACCGCAUACGUCCUACGGGAGAAAGCAGGGGAUCUUAUGACCUUGCGCUAUUAGAUGAGCCCAAGUCAGAUUAGCUAGUUGGUGAGGUAAUGGCUUACCAAGGCGACGAUCUGUAGCUGGUCUGAGAGGAUGAUCAGCCACACUGGGACUGAGACACGGCCCAGACUCCUACGGGAGGCAGCAGUG